rnacentral:lncRNA from 1 species
UCAAUUGCUUGGCCUACUCUAACUUAAAAAUAGAUCAUGUUGCUACCAUCACCUGUUUGUUUCUAUGUAGGUCAUUUUCCCUGGUGAUGGGCUCCACUGGAGCAUUAAUGAACAGAAAGACAAGAGCUCCAGCUGAGAAGGUGCUGUUGACAGGUCAGUAGCAGUGGAGCAGGUGCAGGAAAUGCACUCAAACCCCACCCCUUCCUUGUGGGGAAGAGACAG